AUGGCAGAUGAUGCCAGUGCAGUGGGAGGGCCUGGAAGCUCUGGGGGCCCUGGAAUGGGAGGCCGUGGUGGUUUCUGUGGAGGCUUCUGCUGCAGCAGCAUUCGAGUCCGGGGUCGCGGCCGUGGUCGGGGUUGGGGCUGAGGACAAAGAGUGGAUGCCCGUCACCAAGCUGGGCUGCCUGGUCAAGGACAUGAAAAUCAAAUCCCUGGAGGAGAGCUAUCUUUUCUCCCUGCCCAUUAAGGAAUCUAAGAUCAUUGAUUUUUUUCUUGGGGGCAUCUCUCAAGGAUGAGGUUUUGAAGAUUAUGCCAGCUCCAAAAUAGACCGGUCCUAGCCCAUGGACCAGGUUCAAGGUGUUUGUUGCCACUGGGGACUACAAUGGCCAUGUCCGUCUGGGUGUUAAGUGUUCCAAGGAAGUAGCCACUGCCAUCCGAGGGGCCAUCAUCCUGGCCAAGCUCUCUACUGUCCCAGUGUGGAGAGGCUACUGGGGGAAUAAGAUCGGCAAACCUCACACUGUUCCUUGCAAGGUGACAGGCUGCUGUGGCUCUGUGCUGGUACAUCUCAUCCUUACUCCUAGAGGACCUGGCAUUGUCUCAGCGCCUGUGCCUAAGAAGCUGCUAAUAAUGGCUGGGAUCGAUGACUACUACACUUCAGCCAGGGGCUGCACUGCCAACCUGGGCAACUUUGCCAAGACCACUUUUGAUGCCGUUUCCAAGACCUAUAGCUAUCUAAUUCCUGAUCUCUGGAAAGAGAUAGCGUUCACCAAGUCUCCUUACCAAGAACUCACUGACCAUCUUGUGAAGACCCACACCAAAGUCUCUGUGCAGAGGACCCAGGCUCCAGCUGUGGCUACAACAUAGGGUUUUUAUACAAGAAUAAUAAAGUGAAUUAAG